AACGAACGCUGGCGGCAGGCCUAACACAUGCAAGUCGAACGCCCCGCAAGGGGAGUGGCAGACGGGUGAGUAACACGUGGGAACGUGCCCAAAGGUUCGGAUUAUUCCCGGGAAACUGGGAGCAAUACCGAAUGUGUCCGCAAGGAGAAAGAUUUAUCGCCUUUGGAUCGGCCCGCGUCGGAUUAGCUAGUUGGUGGGGUAAAAGCCUACCAAGGCGACGAUCCGUAGCUGGUUUGAGAGAACGACCAGCCACACUGGGACUGAGACACGGCCCAGACUCCUACGGGAGGCAGCAGUGGGGAAUCUUGGACAAUGGGCGCAAGCCUGAUCCAGCCAUGCCGCGUGGAUGAUGAAGGCCCUAGGGUUGUAAAAUCCUUUCGUUGGGGACGAUAAUGACGGUACCCAAAGAAGAAGCUCCGGCUAACUUCGUGCCAGCCGCCGCAGUAAGAC
rnacentral:rRNA from 1 species